ACGCUCGACACCUACGGGGCAGCAGUAGGGAAUCUUCCACAAUGGGCGCAAGCCUGAUGGAGCAACACCGCGUGAGUGAAGAAGGGUUUCGGCUCGUAAAGCUCUGUUGUUGGAGAAGAACGUGCGUGAGAGUAACUGUUCACGCAGUGACGGUAUCCAACCAGAAAGUCACGGCUAACUACGUGUCAGCAGCCGCGGUAAUCUGAGCGGGCUGGCAAGGC
rnacentral:rRNA from 1 species